rnacentral:rRNA from 1 species
AUUGAACGCUGGCGGCAUGCUUUACACAUGCAAGUCGAACGGUAACAGGGUGCUUGCACCGCUGACGAGUGGCGAACGGGUGAGUAAUGCGUCGGAACGUGCCGAGUAGUGGGGGAUAACGCAUCGAAAGGUGUGCUAAUACCGCAUACGUACUGAGGUAGAAAGUGGGGGACCUUCGGGCCUUACGCUAUUCGAGCGGCCGACGUCUGAUUAGCUAGUUGGUGAGGUAAAGGCUCACCGAGGCGACGAUCGGUAGCGGGUCUGAGAGGAUGAUCAGCCACACUGGGACUGAGACACGGCCCAGACUCCUACGGGAGGCAGCAGUGGGGAAUUUUGGACAAUGGGCGCAAGCCUGAUCCAGCCAUGCCGCGUGUCUGAAGAAGGUCUUCGGGUUGUAAAGGACUUUUGUCCGGGAGCAAAUACCCAGUGCUAAUAACGCUGGGGGCUGAGAGUACCGGAAGAAUAAGCACCGGCUAACUACGUGCCAGCCGCCGCCGUAAAAC